AACGAACGCUGGCGGCAUGCCUAACACAUGCAAGUCGAACGAGACCUUCGGGUCUAGUGGCGCACGGGUGCGUAACACGUGGGAAUCUGCCCUUUGCUUCGGAAUAACAGUUAGAAAUGACUGCUAAUACCGGAUGAUGUCGAAAGACCAAAGAUUUAUCGGCAAAGGAUGAGCCCGCGUAGGAUUAGGUAGUUGGUGGGUAAAGGCCUACCAAGCCGACGAUCCUUAGCUGGUCUGAGAGGAUGAUCAGCCACACUGGGACUGAGACACGGCCCAGACUCCUACGGGAGGCAGCAGUGGGGAAUAUUGGACAAUGGGCGAAAGCCUGAUCCAGCAAUGCCGCGUGAGUGAUGAAGGCCUUAGGGUUGUAAAGCUCUUUUACCAGGGAUGAUAAUGACAGUACCUGGAGAAUAAGCUCCGGCUAACUCCGUG
rnacentral:rRNA from 1 species